CAAUAAACAAGUGAAGCUGACUUUAUGUCUCAAGCCGCAGUUUCGAUGUCAAACAUCACAACCUCAAUGGUAGCGUCCCUUUGAGAUGCAUAAGGUCACAGGGUAUUGCAAGUGAGAAUACUUUAACAGAGAUAUCACAGUGAAAUAGGAGCACACUUGUAUCGGUACGCCCUUUUGCAAAUCUAUAUACAAAUCAAAAAAUUAUGAGGAAGUAUUUGGGGUUUGUUCGCCUUACCUACAUGCGAGGGAGUAUAAUCUCU